AUGAGCAAACCCCGGAUCCGGCCACUCCGGCCUCCUCCCCACCAGAUCCGUGGGAUCCCGUUCGUCACUGCCGCCGCGCCCUUUGCUUCGACGGAGCUCGAAGGCCCGGCGCCCCUGCCUUCGCUCGAUCCCCUCUGGCUCGAGGAGGAGGAGGACGACAGGCGUCGCCGACACGUGGGCCGCGGCCUGGCCAGCCGGCCCAGCCACUCACCUGUGCCGCGCAAGGCCCAGGAGUCCCAUGCCGGCCUCCCUCCUCCACCGAGUGGCCGAGGCCCAGCUGCGCCCCCCUUCUGGCCUCACCUCACCACCGACUGUGACGUGGCCCAUGUGAGCAGCCACCCCCAGCCCUCCUGUGCACUGUUGGCCCAGCCAGAUGCGGCCCGUGUUAUUUUUUCCCUACGCUGCGAUUUUAGCUAUUAUCCAGAGUUUGCCAGUUUUGCAGAAAAGACCCUCAUGUUCAUGCAUAUAAUAACUCACAAUUCGUGCAUCGGAUUAAAAUGA
rnacentral:rRNA from 1 species